CCGCGGCUCCGACGAGUCGAGUUGUUUGGGAAUGCAGCUCUAAGUGGGUGGUAAAUUCCAUCUAAAGCUAAAUAUUGGCGAGAGACCGAUAGCGAACAAGUACAGUGAUGGAAAGAUGAAAAGCACUUUGAAAAGAGAGUGAAACAGCACGUGAAAUUGUUGAAAGGGAAGGGCUUGCAAGCAGACACGGUUUUACCGGGCCAGCGU
rnacentral:rRNA from 1 species